UGGGCAACCUGCCCUCAGCUCUGGGAUAACUCCGGGAAACCGGUGCUAAUACUGGAUAUCGACUUCUGCCUCGCAUGGGGUGUUGUUGAAAGUUUUUCGGCUGGGGAUGGGCCCGCGGCCUAUCAGCUUGUUGGUGGGGUGAUGGCCUACCAAGGCGACGACGGGUAGCCGGCUGAGAGGGCGACCGGCCACACUGGGACUGAGACACGGCCCAGACCUCCGUACGGGGAGGCA
rnacentral:rRNA from 1 species